GCGUGGAGACAGGUGGUGCAUGGCUGUCGUCAGCUCGUGUCGCGAGAUGUUGGGUUAAGUCCCGCAACGAGCGCAACCCUCACCCCUAGUUGCCACCGGGUAAAGCCGAGCACUCGAGGGGAACUGCCAGCGUCAAGCUGGAGGAAGGCGGGGAUGACGUCAAGUCAUCAUGCCCCUUACGUCCUGGGCUACACACGUGCUACAAUGGCUAGUACAGAGGGAUGCGAGACCGCGAGGUGGAGCUAAUCCCAAAAAGCUGGUCUAAGUUCAGAUUGCAGUCUGCAACUCGACUGCAUGAAGUAGGAAUCGCUAGUAAUCGCGCAUCAGCACGGCGCGGUGAAUACGUUCCCGGGCCUUGUACACACCGCCCGUCACACCACGAAAGCUGGCUGUACUCGAAGUCGCUGAG
rnacentral:rRNA from 1 species